rnacentral:rRNA from 1 species
ACGGUACUCUUGUAGCAAUAUGAGAGCUAGAGUAGCGUAAGGGUGCGUAACACGUAUGCAAUCUACCCGCAACAGGAGGAUAGCUCUUCGAAAGAGGAAUUAAGACUCCAUAACACCAUUUGAGGGCAUCUGAGGAUGGUUAAACUACAAGGGGUUGCGGAUGAGCAUGCGUCUGAUUAGUUAGUUGGCGGGGUAACGGCCCACCAAGACGAUGAUCAGUAGGGGAACUGAGAGGUUGGUCCCCCACACUGGCACUGAGAUACGGGCCAGACUCCUACGGGAGGCAGCAGUAGGGAAUAUUGGACAAUGGGUGCAAGCCUGAUCCAGCCAUGCCGCGUGCAGGAAGAAAGCCUUCUGGGUUGUAAACUGCUUUUUUCAGGGGAUAAAAUACCGGUGCGCCGGGAAUUGCAAGUACCUGGAGAAUAAGCCACGGCUAACUACGUGCCAGCAGCCGCGGUAAUACGUAGGUGGCAAGCGUUGUCCGGAUUUAUUGGGUUUAAAGGGUGCGUAGGCGGCUAUUUAAGUCAGUGGUGAAAUACGGCAGCUUAACUGUCGAGGUGCCAUUGAUACUGGUUGUCUUGAGUGUAGUUGAAGUGGGCGGAAUGUGUAAUGUAGCGGUGAAAUGCUUAGAUAUUACACAGAACACCGAUUGCGAAGGCAGCUUACUAAACUGUCACUGACGCUGAUGCACGAAAGCGUGGGGAUCGAACAGGAUUAGAUACCCUGGUAGUCCACGCUGUAAACGAUGCUCACUCGCUGUAUGCGAUACACCGUAUGCGGCCAAGCGAAAGCAUUAAGUGA